rnacentral:rRNA from 1 species
UACGAAGGGGGCUAGCGUUGUUCGGAAUCACUGGGCGUAAAGCGCACGUAGGCGGAUCUUUAAGUCAGGGGUGAAAUCCCGAGGCUCAACCUCGGAACUGCCUUUGAUACUGGGGAUCUCGAGUCCGUGAGAGGUGAGUGGAACUGCGAGUGUAGAGGUGAAAUUCGUAGAUAUUCGCAAGAACACCAGUGGCGAAGGCGGCUCACUGGCCCGGUACUGACGCUGAGGUGCGAAAGCGUGGGGAGCAAACAGG